rnacentral:lncRNA from 1 species
UCAUGAUGCCGCACUGUAUUUACAGUCCGUUGAGGAUUCCGUCAUUUGGUGAUUUUAUCAUACUACAUCAUACCAUAGUGGGUUGACGAUCCUGAGAUCACAUCCAACACUAAGUAAUACUGCAUUGAUGACUUCAUCAUUUUUUUAUCAUCUCUGCACCAGGUUGCAUGGUACAUAAGUGAUAAAUAAAAACAACUUUUGAUACUUCAAAUCAUUCGCGUCUAGCCGAAAUAAGUAGCAUAGACUGUACUUUAAAUCGUUUCAAAAAUCUUUGCAAAUCAGUUUUAUCAUCUCAACAGGUAACGAGGUGUCGAUGGCCCGAAGUCCACGCAUACACAAUAAUCACCAGGAGUUGAGAAUAAAAAUUCAUUUUUCAAAAGCACAUAGUGCGUAUUUAGCUUGAUGUCAAAAACUUC